rnacentral:rRNA from 1 species
GACGAACCGUGCGAACGUUGUUCGGAAUCACUGGGCUUAAAGGGCGCGUAGGCGGGCUGUCAAGUCUGGGGCGAAAUGCCGCGGCUCAACCGUGGAACUGCCUCAGAUACUGACGGCCUCGAGGAAGGUAGGGGCAUGCGGAACUGUAGGUGGAGCGGUGAAAUGCGUUGAUAUCUACAGGAACUCCGGUGGCGAAAGCGGCGUGCUGGACCUUUUCUGACGCUGAGGCGCGAAAGCUAGGGGAGCAAACGGG